rnacentral:rRNA from 1 species
AUUGAACGCUGGCGGCAGGCUUAACACAUGCAAGUCGAGCGAGCGGCGGACGGGUGAGUAAGGUCUGGGAAACUGCCUGAUGGAGGGGGACAACUACUGGAAACGGUAGCUACUACCGCAUAACAUCAGAUGUGCCCAGCUGGGAUUAGCUAGUCGGUGGGGUAAUGGCUCACCUAGGCGACGAUCCCUAGCUGGUCUGAGAGGAUGAACAGCAACACUGGAACUGAGACACGGUCCAGACUCCUACGGGAGGCAGCAGUGGGGAAUAUUGCACAAUGGGCGAAAGCCUGAUGCAGCCAUGCCGCGUGUGUGAAGAAGGCCUUCGGGUUGUAAAGCACUUUCAGCGAGGAGGCGUUACUCGCAGAAGAAGCACCGGCUAACACCGUGCCAGCAGCCGCGGUAAUUC